GAUGAAGAACGCAGCGAAAUGCGAUACGUAAUGUGAAUUGCAGAAUUCAGUGAAUCAUCGAAUCUUUGAACGCAUAUUGCGCCUUCUGGUAUUCCGGAGGGCAUGCUUGUUUGAGUAUCAGUAACAACCUCAACUCUUCUUCAUUGCGGAGAAAGAGUUGGAUUUGAGCAUUUCCACAAGUUCGUCUUGGAGGAUUGCUUGAAAUAUGAGGUUCGGCCGGCAGUUGCCUGGGCUACAAGCAUUUCAUACUUAAUCCCGUCAAACGGAUUAUAUCCUUUGCUGCAGCCAACAUACAGGGUAACUUUGCCAGUGUUCCGACUGAUGCAGGAAAGUUGAGAACAGCUUUUUGCUUUCUCUUCUAAACUCGAUCUCAAAUCAAGUAAGACUACCCGCUGAACUUAAGCAUAUCAAUAAGCGGAGGA
rnacentral:misc_RNA from 1 species